UCCUUAAAAAAAAAAAGUGCAUUGUGGCUCCUAAGCAUGGAUAAAAUUAGGUGACCAGGAUCCUCCAGCUGAACCUCCAAGCUAUUCAAGUACACCCAGCUUAGAAGCCUAUUCCAGGGCCUGGAAAGAGUAGCCCCAAGCCUCCUUACCUCCAACUUCACAGGGCUGUUGUGUAGACCACCCAAGCACGCAGGCAUGCCAACACCUUGCCAGACAAUGCUGGGAUUGGCAGUCAGCAGUGAUCAGGCGAUCCUUAGAAGACACACACUGAGCUAUCAGCCUCACCCUGCUGGCUUUGUGACAUUGAAGAGUGAACAUCAAGUCCAACCAUCAAAGCCCAUGGCCACCUCACCUGGCCUUCUUUCCCUGCAAGGUGGGCUUGCUUUCUGGCCUGAAUGUGACACCUGCUUGGGACACAGAUUCCUGGUGUCUCCCUGGUUGUUUACCUUGAGAACAGUGUCUGUGCUGGCCUCUUGUCAACCUUGGCCUCUUUGAGCCUGUCCAUUCCCUCCCUCCUCUCCUGGAAGGCCUCUUCCCUGCUCUGACUCACCAGGAAGGGCCUCCUCCUCCAGCUCUUCUGAGCUCAGCCCAUACCAAGAGCAGAGGAGGCCAGGACAGGGUCCCUGAGAGUGGGAUGAAGACAGAUGCCUCUAGAAAAAGCCAAGAACUCACUGUCAGCUUAGCUCCAGGAGAAGUCUUCAAGAAGGAGAGAGGAAGAUAGAAGGAGGAUCAGCCUUGAGGGUCAUCCUGAACUGGUUGCCUUGGAGGCCAUACGACUUGCCAUAUGUCCCUUUGUCACCCAGCCUCUCCCAGACCCUCACGAUUUUCAUCAAUCACAGCGUGGUCUUCCUGGACCUUCAACCAUGCUCUGGAGCAGUGAGGCCCACUUCCCUCACCCCUGCCUCGACCUGAGCCUUUUAAGCAAAUCAGCAAUGUAAUUAUUGAUCUGUAAGAGAAAAGGAAUUAAUACGGCCGCCCACAUCCUUUGUACAUAAGAGUAUUUAACAAUGAACUCUGCUUAAACUUCAUAAAAGCCUCUUCAGCAAAUCAGCACACAAGUAUUGAUCUGGAAGCCCGCCUGUGAAUCCCAGCUGUCUGCCUCUCCCACUGAAGGACCAUUAGUUUGUCUUGCCGGACUCUCCUUUUUACGUUUAUGACCUGGCACUUUCUCCUGGGACGGUUUCCUCUGUUUCUCAGCAAGGGCUUGGCUCCCCGAUUUUGCUGACCCUCCCUUUUCCUGGAGUCCAAGGUAUCGACUCCAGAGCACGCCAGGCGGGUACUCUCAGGCUCACAUUCUGCAGGCUCAUGUUGGGCCCAGAACCCCAAGGACCAGCCUGCCUGGGGGACCCCUUUGUAACACAACUGGAGUUCUUAAUGUUCACCCACGUGUUCACCUCCCAACGAGGCCAGGCAUUCCCAUCUCCACUUUGCAGAGGAGAAAACCAAGACCCAAGGUGUACUGACCCUCCUAGAGUCACACAGACAGUAAGGGCCAGGCACCAAAUUCAAACCAAUGGCCUGAGCAACUUUCUUCCUGGAAGUGUAAGCCAGGGACUGGCAUUGCCCACAGUAGAGCAAAUUGGGACAACUGUCCAGGAUACCAUGGGCUCUAAGGCCAGAUGCAUCCCUGAAGGGGACUCUUUCAGGCACCAGGUGAGGCCAAGGAGUGCAGCAAGGCUCAGCCAUAGCACCCACUAGACUUGCCUCCCACAGGAUGACUUUGACCCUUGACACCUUCCUGUCCACUCUUGACCCAGGCUAUCAGCCCACUCAUGUGCCUGUGAAAUGGGGGCCCUGUCCUGUAUAACAGGAGUGGCAGGGGCUAGUGGUGGGAGGGUCAUUCCUACCUUGCAAAGCAGUGCUCUUGGCUCAUGCCGGCUGCAUGGGGCCCUCGGCUGCCCAGUCCCUGGAGCAGGGCAGCCUGGGUCCCGUGGCCUCACAUCUACCUUCCCAACUAUGGCUUUGGAGCCUGGGUGUAGAAUCAGGGUCUGUGGGUCUGGUCUGGCUCAGGCCUAAUCUCAGGGGCCCCAGAACCCCUUCUCCUCUGGCUACAAUAACUGCCUCUGUGAAAUGGGCUUUGGUCUUGGUCUCUAGGAGCCCGCUAGCUCCAGCACCCUGCACAGCAGCAGAGCAGGGGUGGGAGAGCCCCCAAACCACAGACCCCAAGUCCCUUAGAAAUGCUGGGCGCAUAUAUAUAGGUGCCCAACCCUGACAUGCCAGGAACUGGCUGUGGCCGUGCCCACCUCAGCCCAUCCUCUGUGAGCUACCAGCCUGCUCCUUGUCUCUCUCAGUUUGGCCUGGGCCUCAGUGCUUCUCUCCCGUCUGGUCCCUCACACUCUUCUCUCUGUCUUUCUUCAGUCUUUGCCUUGUCUUCUUCCUAUUUCCCUGUUUCUGUUUUCUUCUCCGCCAGUCCCUGUUUUCCUUUCUCUCAGUCUCUGCUUCCUUUCUGACAUUCGGUUUGUCUGUCUAACCCGUCCCCACAACAACGCAUGUGCAGAAUUCCCUGGACCUGGAUUGGUGAUGGUCAUGGCCAAGUCUUGGGAAGGCCCUGGGCUCUGGGAUGCCACGUACCUGGAACGGGGGUGGGCCAGCCUGUGUGGGCGCCUGUGUUUCAGGGGCUCAGAGAAGGCAUCUCCCGAGAGCCCGUCGAGGCUGGGCCUCACUCCUCCUGGGGGGUUGUGGGGCUAGCUGGGGGCCCAUAGCAUGCUUCACUGUACCUGGCGGGGUUCUCACUGGACACAGCUUCCCUCAUGUAUGCUAGAAUGGCACCUCUCCUGCCCCGCAGGCCUCACUGGUCCCAUUGCCUUUCACGGUACUUUGUAGGCCUACAUAGUCAGGGGGUUGGGGAUGGCUCUGCUCAAGAAGAUUCUGGGGAAACCAGAGGACCCAGUGGGUGCCGUGUUUCACAACAUCCCUCCCCACCCCUUUCCACUCCUGGCUCUUACUGGCAGGGAGAGGCUCGGAGGGUUGACCAGGAUCCUGCCUCUGGAUGGGCCGUCCAGGAGCUGAGGGGCACUGCCUCCUCGCCGCCAGCCCAGACCUGGCUGGGUCUAGGAACAAGGCAGUCGUAACUGUGGGAAAUGUUGAUCGGAAGCAUGAUAGAGCCUGCAUUGCUCUGCAGGCCACCUGGAGAGUUCUGGACAGAACAAACCCUACAGGCCAAUGUACCUGUGACAGCUACCCUCCCACACCAGACUCAAACUGAAAUACUGAGUUGGCCUUCAGACUAGAACUUACACCAUCAGCUUUCCUGAAUCUCCAGCUUACCAACUGUGGACCUUGGGACUUCUCAGCCUCCAUAAUCAUGCCAGGUCACUGGUGACUUUCCCAAAAAACCUCUUCAAAAAAUCUGGGAGUCUGGAGAUCCCCAAGCUGGGCCUCUCGUUCUGCAGCCUUGGCAAGCCUCGCCAUGUCCUUGAGUAAUGCCUGUCCCUGAGAACCAUCACCCCCAAGGUCCACUGGGCCAACCUGAACAGCAGGGGGCAAAGGAGUUAAGGGUCUGGCCCUGCCCUGGCUCUGCCUCUUAACCCCAAGUGCCUACUUGUCCUGUGAGCUAUGCGCCCAUACUGCCUACCUCCCAGCUCCAACACAUGCAGUCCCUGGGCUUGUCACACCACAGACGUCCUGGACUCCCAGGACUCAUUUUUUAAGGCAUCUGAGUAUCCACACUUCUCAGGAAUCAUUCUCAAAAAUCCCCAUUUCUCCCUAAUGAAUGCUCCUGGCAUCUACUGGUGGUCCUGAAAUGGGCCAAGUCACUGAAAGAACCAUUUGUCAACUCUGUCCUGACAACAUCACUGGGGCUGCAGGUAAGUGGAUGCCAGACUCCGGGGUCUGGGGUCUGGCCCAGCUCUGCUGAGGACUCCAGAGGGGACCUUCUCUGUGUAUAUCAGAAGGUAUCUGAGUUUCAGUUCCCACAAAGGGAGAUGCCGAGACAAGGAUUUGCUUCAAGGCAUCUUAUCUGGCAGGUGUUUGGGGGAGGCACAGUGAGUGAGGCAACAGAGGAGGACGGCUUGGGAUCCCAGAGAGCACUCGGGAACCGCAGAAAGUCUGGCUCCAGAGCCCGAAGACAUGACAUGGCUGUGCCCCUGUCUCUUGGCCAGUUAAACUCACGUGAAGAUCUGAGAUAUAACGGUGAAAAGCUCUGACGCAGAGUCAGUGCUCUGGAAACAGCAGUUGCUAUGAUAAUAGUUAUGAGAACCCCUGUGAGGAUUAAAUAACACACUGAGAUAGCCCAGUCCUGCAUCGUCUCA